rnacentral:rRNA from 1 species
GACGAACCGUGCGAACGUUGUUCGGAAUCACUGGGCUUAAAGGGCGCGUAGGCGGCUUGCCAAGUCGGGGGUGAAAUACGUUCAGCUUAACUGGAGAAGUGCCUUCGAUACUGGCGGGCUAGAGGGAGGUAGGGGUCAUUGGAACUUCUGGUGGAGCGGUGAAAUGACGUUGAUAUCAGAAGGAACGCCGGUGGCGAAAGCGAAUGACUGGACCUCUUCUGACGCUGAGG